GUCUAUAGCCAUUCCACCCUAUAUGAACUUAGUCUCAUCUGAUCUCAGAAUCUAAGAGGGGUCAGCCCUCAUUACUGUUUGAAUGGAAUGAUCUUAGUCA
rnacentral:rRNA from 1 species